rnacentral:rRNA from 1 species
GAUGAACGCUAGCGGCAGGCCUAAUACAUGCAAGUCGAACGGUGUCUUCGGACAUAGUGGCGCACGGGUGCGUAACACGUAUGCAACCUACCUUACAUUGGGGGAUAGCCUUUCGAAAGGGAGAUUAAUACCGCAUAAGACAGUAGCUGGGCAUCCAGCAGCUGUUAAAGAUUUAUCGAUGUAAGCUGGGCAUGCGUCCAAUUAGCUAGUUGGUGAGGUAAUGGCUCACCAAGGCAAUGAUUGGUAGGGGAACUGAGAGGUCAAUCCCCCACACUGGCACUGAGAUACGAGCCAGACUCCUACGGGAGGCAGCAGUAGGGAAAAUUGGGCAAUGGACGCAAGUCUGACCCAGCCAUGCCGCGUGUAGGAUGAAGGCGUUAUGCGUUGUAAACUGCUUUUAUACAGGAAGAAACGACUCUUGCGAGAGGCAUUGACGGUACUGUAUGAAUAAGCACCGGCUAACUCCGUGCCAGCCGCCGCGGUAACAC